rnacentral:ncRNA from 2 species
CUAUAUCGUGUGCUUGCUGGUGUCCGGAGAGGCGCGACUGCCCGUCGGACUUAAUAGGGAAUCCGGUGCGAAUCCGGAACUGCCCCGCAGCGGUAAGUGGAAACGACCCCGUCUGAAUGCACUGGUCCUCAGCGACUGGGAAGCGAUGGGUAGGCGGGCCUCAGUGCCCUCGUCCACGAGUCCGAAGACCUGCCAGCGGUCGGUGCCUCAU